UGGGGAAUAUUGGACAAUGGGCGAAAGCCUGAUCCAGCCAUGCCGCGUGUGUGAAGAAGGUCUUCGGAUUGUAAAGCACUUUAAGUUGGGAGGAAGGGUUGUAGAUUAAUACUCUGCAAUUUUGACGUUACCGACAGAAUAAGCACCGACUAACUCUGUGCCAGCAGCCGCGGUAAUACAGAGGGUGCAAGCGUUAAUCGGAAUUACUGGGCGUAAAGCGCGCGUAGGUGGUUAGUUAAGUUGGAUGUGAAAUCCCCGGGCUCAACCUGGGAACUGCAUUCAAAACUGACUGACUAGAGUAUGGUAGAGGGUGGUGGAAUUUCCUGUGUAGCGGUGAAAUGCGUAGAUAUAGGAAGGAACACCAGUGGCGAAGGCGACCACCUGGACUGAUACUGACACUGAGGUGCGAAAGCGUGGGGAGCAAACA
rnacentral:rRNA from 1 species